ACAAUCCUAUACAAGUGAUGAUGUUUGACCAGUGCCAUAGGUUGGUGCAAAAUUAUGUGUCCUUGAUAUAGCAACAUAUAUUUUUAUGAACCGUAGUGUUCUUCCCACUUUUAAGUGUGAAGAACACUCUAUUGUUGUGGUUGCAGAUUGCAGCUUCAUUUGCAUCGGAUGAAGGAUCCUGCAGAUGCUUAAAAGUUUUUUUUAUAACUUGACACAUGCCUAAAUUAGGCUCAGGGCUCUUUAACGAGAUAUCAUGCUUGCGAUAGUUCUGCUUGCGAAUGUUUCUGCUUGCGAAUGUAUCAUGCUUGCGAAUGUUUGCGAUAGUUCUAGGAGCACCUGACAGCAGGCCUGCUGUGGCGAAGCAUGAAGAUACAGACGUGCGAGAGAUAAUUGAAGCUGAUGCUAUCUUUCGCAAAGGUGACACGUGCGUAAGUGCACCGUCAGUUGACCUGUUAGAUCGGGAAAGUGGCUAGUGGAUAGACUGGUGGCACCACUGUGCACGGAUAUAUAGCUUGGCGUUUCCUGAAAAUAAAAAUUGUUGAAGCUAGCGCAUUGUGUUGUCCACUCCCUCAUGUCCCUGUCUCUUAGCGCUCAAUAUGUCGUCAAGUUCUAUUUACCAGCAAGCCCAAAAAAUGGCACUAUCAAAAUACAAUACGCUUUGAAAUAUUUUAGAUCACGUGCACACAAAAUUUAAAAAUGAAAUUUUGAACUCAAUUUUCUCCUCUAUCAAUACACCUAUGAUGGUGAAAUAAAUUACGCUAUAGAACUCUGAGCACAAUUUAUCAAUCUUAACAAAUUCAUUGUUUCUCUUUUGUGUCCCUUUAAUGUGUUGCACCUAACAUCAUGUUUCUUUUUAUCUCAAAUAUUGUUUAUGUAGCAUGAACUUCAAUGAGACCACUACGUAAUCUCUAUGUAAAUAGUCUUCCAAAGUCCAAUAUGCUUAUUUGCAGGACUCUUGGAAAGUAUCCAUCCAGUAUAAAUUCGGGUACAUGCGAAGAACUCUCAGUACUCUGCCUGCUGUGCAGGAAGCCAAGGAGGUCUAUGGAAAACGGAAACCUCAAGAUAGUGCCAUUGCUGCACAAACUAAACGGCAACGCCGCGUGGUAGCAAUUUCUGUUUUUAAGUUCAUUUCAAUGUUUUACAAGUAACAUUUGCAUGUGGCUUAGCUCGCUAAUAACAGUCUACGGCUUCAUCAUCGCUUGAGUAAGUGAAAUGUUUUGGCACUAAAACGGCACUCCGCAUGAGCUGUCUUUUUCUGCUUCAACAAGCCCCAUUUUAAAAAAAAUAAAAAAUGUGGGGGGGGGGUUAAUGACAUAACUAGGUAGCAUCAUGUUGCCUUAAUUCCAGGAAGACUAUGGUUGCCUUAUACAAGUGUUCGUUCUACUUUUUUUUUUUACCCUGUUAGACAACAAGCAUCCCAUAUGAUGACCACGAUGAAGGUGUUUUAGUGGGACACUUGGAAUUCAUGUCCAAAGAGAUGUCGAAGCGUGCUCCGGACCUCCAGAAAUUGAGCGAAUCGAUGAAGCAGACACGCUCUUCUAGGAGGUCGUGGAUGAAAGAUACAGUGCCUACAACAGCUGAGAUACUUGAAAAGUAUCCCGCUUUAGGAAAUGUUGAGAUGCUUCAUGAAGAAUUUACAGCAAUAACAAGCAUCCAGAUGGAAAAAAAAGCUGUUGGAAUUUUUCAACAACUUUGGACCCAGGAUUCUGGAGCUACUGAAAACUCGCCAUUCAACAAAGGACCUGGUGAAGGAGCUCGAGAAGGAGCUUGAAAAACUGGAAGGCAAUAGCCGUAAAUAUCGAUUUGCAGUUGCCUUAAUAGAACUCCUCCCACUGCUGCUGAAAGAGAAGCCGAAAUUUCUGAGGGGCCCUGACAUCUACCCUGCUCUUUGUUUUGAGGGAACAAGUAUCAGAGAGGCCGAAGAAAUGACCGUAGUGUUUGAGGCAUUCAACAUUCAUGUCGUCGAUGUUAUAGCCGGCAUGACGGCUAUCAUGGAACUGUAUUGGGUACUGGACAUCAUGUACUCGGAGAGUAACAAAAACACCUUAACGCUCCUCGAGUACUUUUGUGGACUACCAAGUGUGCCCAGAGCACCACUACUUUUAAGGACGAUUUCGUCGAUCAAGAGCUGAUCUGACAGCAAUGUGCAAUAAGCAGAGCUUAUAUAAUAAAGAUUGAAGUGUGUGUAUCAAA